GACGUAGGGCGCGAGCGUUGUCCGGAUUUAUUGGGCGUAAAGAGCUCGUAGGCGGCUUGUCGCGUCGACCGUGAAACCUCACAGCUCAACUGUGAGCCUGCGGUCGAUACGGGCAGGCUAGAGUUCGGUAGGGGAGACUGGAAUUCCUGGUGUAGCGGUGAAAUGCGCAGAUAUCAGGAGGAACACCGGUGGCGAAGGCGGGUCCCUGGGCCGAUACUGACGCUGAGGAGCGAAAGCGUGGGGAGCAAACAGG
rnacentral:rRNA from 1 species